rnacentral:rRNA from 1 species
AUUGAACGCUGGCGGCAGGCCUAACACAUGCAAGUCGAGCGGAUGAAGAGAGCUUGCUCUCUGAUUUAGCGGCGGACGGGUGAGUAAUGCCUAGGAAUCUGCCUGGUAGUGGGGGAUAACGUUCCGAAAGGAACGCUAAUACCGCGUACGUCCUACGAGAGAAAGCAGGGGACCUUCGGGCCUUGCGCUAUCAGAUGAGCCUAGGUCGGAUUAGCUAGUUGGUGAGGUAAUGGCUCACCAAGGCGACGAUCCGUAACUGGUCUGAGAGGAUGAUCAGUCACACUGGAACUGAGACACGGUCCAGACUCCUACGGGAGGCAGCAGUGGGGAAUAUUGGACAAUGGGCGAAAGCCUGAUCCAGCCAUGCCGCGUGUGUGAAGAAGGUCUUCGGAUUGUAAAGCACUUUAAGUUGGGAGGAAGGGUUGUAGAUUAAUACUCUGCAAUUUUGACGUUACCAACAGAAUAAGCACCGGCUAACUUCGUGCCAGCCGCCGCUGUAAGAC